rnacentral:lncRNA from 1 species
UAAGCAUAGAUUCAGCACAGAAGACAAGUUUCAACAAAAUACCUUAUUGUUUGGAAGCAGUUCUACCUGAUAGCACUACUUCAGGUGCACUUAAUCUUAAGGUAAUUCUAGUAUUAACUGCAUAUUAGAAGAGUAGGAAUCCAGGCAUCAUGAGUCACUAUUUAUAAUCUGCAGCAGAUGUGUAUAAAAUCAAUAGCUAAUGGACAGCAUGGUCUUGCAGUGAAUUAGGAGCAGAGUGUGAAAAUGUCAGUUUCUCUUCAGUGUCUCUGCCAGCUGAGAUCAGAUGAAAUUUCAACAGUUCUUCCUCUGUUCAUCAAAACUAGAUUUUAUAUAUAAACUUGCAGUAGGAAGGCACGUCAGAAAAAUAGCUACUUCUGUGUUUAAAUCCCCAUUUUUAUUCAUCCAACAAAACCAUACCUGUUAGCAAGAAUGGAAUAUCUAUAUAGAGAAGGAGGAGAUGUCAAGAUCAAGCACAGAGUCAUGUGAAUUCUUCCUCUGCUAGCAGGAGAAGGGAAAAAUGAUCAGUGUAAAUCCUUGGCUGUUUUGCUGCAAGUUUGUCAUUAUGGUAAUGAGUGAUGCAAGGACACUGUUAGACUUUGCCAUAUUUCUUAAUGCUUACUAUUUAUUGUAGUCCCUAGAGGCUCUAACAGGAAUGAUGAGCUGAUGCAGCACAACUGGGAGGCUGAUGGGGGCUGCAGUAUGAGGAAAUGGUCUUGGGUUCCUUAGUAAGACCAGGAUUGCUUAUUGCCUUCUAACUUCUAUAGAGGUUGCAGCUGCUGAGGAGGAGCAGGAGAGCACAGCUAUCACACUUGGUGGGUUCAAGGGCUUUGUGUGGUGAGCUGGAACUCAGAACUUUGGUCUGUCCGUGGCAAGGAAGUUCUUUCCUUGCAUGGUACAUAACAACUACACACUCAUUACUGAAGUGGAAUUCAAAAAAAGAUGAGGACUGAUAUGCAGACUACUGUGAAAACAAAAAGAUGGUAUGGGAAGAUAGUGAUCCUGAGGGAUAUGUUAUCUCCACCUUUUGAAGCUGUUCAAUAUUGCAUGACUAAGAGCGAGUUUGGUCUAAAAAUCACAUCCACUGACUUCCAGGUAAUCAUCUGAAAUUAUGACCAUCAGCCUCUGACACAUACUUUCUGUAAGUUCAUUGCUGACUGAUCAUGCACAUGCUCCUGGCAGC